rnacentral:rRNA from 1 species
GAUGAACGCUGGCGGCGUGCCUAAUACAUGCAAGUCGAGCGAACGGACGAGAAGCUUGCUUCUCUGAUGUUAGCGGCGGACGGGUGAGUAACACGUGGAUAACCUACCUAUAAGACUGGGAUAACUUCGGGAAACCGUAGCUAAUACCGGAUAAUAUUUUGAACCGCAUGGUUCAAAAGUGAAAGACGGUCUUGCUGUCACUUAUAGAUGGAUCCGCGCUGCAUUAGCUAGUUGGUAAGGUAACGGCUUACCAAGGCAACGAUGCAUAGCCGACCUGAGAGGGUGAUCGGCCACACUGGAACUGAGACACGGUCCAGACUCCUAAGGGAGGCAGCAGUAGGGAAUCUUCCGCAAUGGGCGAAAGCCUGACGGAGCAACGCCGCGUGAGUGAUGAAGGUCUUCGGAUCGUAAAACUCUGUUAUUAGGGAAGAACAUAUGUGUAAGUAACUGUGCACAGCUUGACGGUACCUAAUCAGAAAGCCACGGCUAACUACGUG